CACCCAAUGUGAACAUGUCCCUACGCCGAUGGAGCCCAAUUGCCGAGCCUGUUGACGACACACCAAGAUUGGGCGUUUGAAGCUGGUGGAGGCAUGCUUCCAUUUCUGGCGAUUCUGCCAUUUUUUGACGAACCUAGCCCUACCUAUACCCCUAUUCUCUAUUUUAGACCCCUGAUUCCAAAUAUAGCCUCCAGUUUUUCAAAUUCUAAGUCAUUUGAGAGAUACAAUGAGUUGAAGUUUAGCCAAAAUUCUCCGGCCAUUCGAGGGAUCCAGCGGCGAUUUUAGUAUGCAGGUUAUAAUCAGUUGUCCUUUGUGGCUGUGCUAAUUGAAGGUAGAUAGGUAGUUUGUAGAGAUGAUAUUAGUCAACUUCCUUAUGGUUGAAGGACGACAUGUUUACCCAUUGCUAUAAGCGCUAAGGUGAGUGAGGGUAGACGACUGUUUCUAUUGUGAUGACAUUAGCCACCAUUUCCUUAGCUUUAGGAUGGUAGGUUAUUUAGCAUCGGAACCAUUGAAAUGCCAAUGAGGCCGUCUGCUGGUUCUCUACUCCCUUCUUUUCUGUCAAAUGGUGAUUGGGACACCAAGCAUUACUUGGAAGCAGCGGUAUAUCCUAUGGUACAACAGGCAUCCUUUCUAUAGAUAUAUAAAUAUAUAUAUAUAUAUAUUAUAUCAUGUUAUGUGUCAGGUGUACUAUACCAUACCAGGGGUAACGACAUGAUUUGGCUCAUGAACGGCUUAGUAUCAUAUUUCUACUACUUAUGAGACUAGCGGGUUGGAUGAUCAUUAUAGGCAACCAUCCCUGGCUAUAUUGAUAGCAAAAUACCUACAGAUAAUUGAUAUCAUGAGACCAUACCUUGGUACAAUAUAUGGUAUAUCAGAUGUAUUUCCGCUAUGAGUGUGCUAUUUAUAUAAUACAUUUAUUAGUUUUUA